rnacentral:tRNA from 1 species
GCUCACGUGGUGGAAUUGGUAGACACGCCAUCUUGAGGGGGUGGUGCGCUUAUGCGUGUGCUGGUUCGAAUCCAGUCGUGAGCA